rnacentral:lncRNA from 1 species
AUGCCAAAGAAUGUUCAAACUACCUGCACAAUUGCACUCAUCUCACAUGCUAGUAAAGUAAUGCUCAAAAUUCUUCAAGCCAGGCUUCAGCAAUAUGGGAACCGUGAAAUUCCUGAUGUUCAAGCUGGUGUUAGAAAAGGCAGAGGAACCAGAGGUCAAAUUGCCAACAUCCGCUGGAUCAUGGGAAAAGCAAGAGAGUUCCAGAAAAACGUCUAUUUCUGCUUUCUUGACUAUGCCAAAGCCUUUGACUGUGUGGAUCACAAUAAACUGUGGAAAAUUCUGAAAGAGAUGGGAAUACCAGACCACCUGACCUGCCUCUUGAGAAAUCUGUAUGCAGGUCAGGAAGCAACAGUUAGAACUGGACAUGGAACAACAGACUGGUUCCAAAUAGGAAAAGGAGUACAUCAAGGCUGUAUAUUGUCACCUUGCUUAUUUAACUUCUAUGCAGAGUACAUCAUGAGAAACGCUGGACUGGAAGAAACACAAGCUGGAAUCAAGAUUGCCGGGAGAAAUAUCAAUCACCUCAGAUAUGCAGAUGACACCACCCUUAUGGCAGAAAGUGAAGAGGAGCUAAAAAGCCUCUUGAUGAAAGUGAAAGAGGAGAGUGAAAAAGUUGGCUUAAAACUCAACAUUCAGAAAACGAAGAUCAUGGCAUCUGGUCCCAACACUUCAUGGGAAAUAGAUGGGGAAACAGUGUCAGACUUUAUUUUUGGGGGCUCCAAAAUCACUACAGGUGGUGACUACAGCCAUGAAAUUAAAAGACGCCUACUCCUUAGAAGAAAAGUUAUGACCAACCUAGAUAGCAUAUUCAAAAGCAGAGACAUUACUUUGCUGACUAAGGUCCAUCUAGUCAAGGCUAUGGUUUUUCCAGUGGUCAUGUAUGGAUGUGAGAGUUGGACUGUGAAGAAGGCUGAGUGCCGAGGAAUUGAUGCUUUUGAACUGUGGUGUUGGAGAAGACUCUUGAGAGUCCCUUGGACUGCAAGGAGAUCCAACCAGUCCAUUCUGAAGGAGAUCAACCCUGGGAUUUCUUUGGAAGGAAUGAUGCUAAAGCUGAAACUCCAGUACUUUGGCCACCUGAUUAAGAGUUGA